GACAAACUAGGUCAAAUUAAGACUUAUACAGUAAAAAAGGGGGUUAGGGAAUUUAUAUUGCGUAUACAAGAGAAAUUAAAUUUUUUAUAGAGGUGGAAUUUGUAUAAAAAAAUUGAUUUAUUAUUCUCUUUUUUCUUGAAGCCCCGAAAUCUCAUUUAGAGACCGGGAUUAGAUACCCCGUUAUCUGAGAUAUAAAACUUAAUUCAAUUGAAAUUUACUUGAGUAUUACGGGUUCUAUAAACUUAGAGUUUAUUAGGAUAAUUUAAAACUCAAAAGACUUGGCGGUGCCUUAAAUCCUUUCAGGGGAACCUGUCCUGUAAUUGAUAAUCCACGAUUCACCUUUCCUUUUUUUGAAAAUAUAAUUCAGUCUGUAUACCGUCGUCGUCAGAUUACCUUUAAAAGUAAAGAAGUUAUCAGCAAGAUUAUUAUAAAUACAGGGAAUUGUAUUAAUUGUAUUUUCUAGACGUCAGAUCAAGGUGCAACUAAUAAAAAGGAAGAGAUGGGUUACAAUAAUAAGUUAUUAUACGAAUUUUUUGUUGCAAAACAAAUUUAAAGGCGGACUUGAAAGUAAUAAUAAGAGAAGUAGAGAGUCUCAGUGAAAAUGGCUCUAAGGCGUGU
rnacentral:rRNA from 1 species